GAUGAACGCUGGCGGCGUGCCUAAUACAUGCAAGUCGAGCGAACAGAUGAGGAGCUUGCUCCUCUGACGUUAGCGGCGUACGGGUGAGUAACACGUGGAUAACCUACCUAUAAGACUGGGAUAACUUCGGGAAACCGGAGCUAAUACCGGAUAAUAUAUUGAACCGCAUGGUUCAAUAGUGAAAGACGGUUUUGCUGUCACUUAUAGAUGGAUCCGCGCCGCAUUAGCUAGUUGGUAAGGUAACGGCUUACCAAGGCAACGAUGCGUAGCCGACCUGAGAGGGUGAUCGGCCACACUGGAACUGAGACACGGUCCAGACUCCUACGGGAGGCAGCAGUAGGGAAUCUUCCGCAAUGGGCGAAAGCCUGACGGAGCAACGCCGCGUGAGUGAUGAAGGUCUUCGGAUCGUAAAACUCCGUUAUUAGGGAAGAACAAAUGUGUAAGUAACUAUGCACGUCUUGACGGUACCUAAUCAGAAAGCCACGGCUAACUACGUG
rnacentral:rRNA from 1 species